GACGAACCGUGCGAACGUUAUUCGGAAUCAUUGGGCGUAAAGGGCGCGUAGGCGGCUCUGCACGUCCGUUGUGAAAUCGCCCGGCUCAACUGGGGGGGGUCAGCGGAUACGGCAGAGCUUGAGCAAGCUAGGGGGCAAUGGAAUUCCCGGUGUAGUGGUGGAAUGCGUAGAUAUCGGGAGGAACACCAGUGGCGAAGGCGGUUGCCUGGGGCUUUGCUGACGCUGAUGCGCGAAAGCGUGGGGAGCGAUCCGG
rnacentral:rRNA from 1 species